AGCUACACAUGCAAGUCGAGCGGUAGAGAGAAGCUUGCUUCUCUUGAGAGCGGCGGACGGGUGAGUAAUGCCUAGGAAUCUGCCUGGUAGUGGGGGAUAACGUUCGGAAACGGACGCUAAUACCGCAUACGUCCUACGGGAGAAAGCAGGGGACCUUCGGGCCUUGCGCUAUCAGAUGAGCCUAGGUCGGAUUAGCUAGUUGGUGAGGUAAUGGCUCACCAAGGCGACGAUCCGUAACUGGUCUGAGAGGAUGAUCAGUCACACUGGAACUGAGACACGGUCCAGACUCCUACGGGAGGCAGCAGUGGGGAAUAUUGGACAAUGGGCGAAAGCCUGAUCCAGCCAUGCCGCGUGUGUGAAGAAGGUCUUCGGAUUGUAAAGCACUUUAAGUUGGGAGGAAGGGUUGUAGAUUAAUACUCUGCAAUUUUGACGUUACCGACAGAAUAAGCACCGGCUAACUCUGUGCCAGCAGCCGCGGUAAUACAGAGGGUGCAAGCGUUAAUCGGAAUUACUGGGCGUAAAGCGCGCGUAGGUGGUUUGUUAAGUUGGAUGUGAAAUCCCCGGGCUCAACCUGGGAACUGCAUUCAAAACUGACUGACUAGAGUAUGGUAGAGGGUGGUGGAAUUUCCUGUGUAGCGGUGAAAUGCGUAGAUAUGGGAAGGAACACCAGUGGCGAAGGCGACCACCUGGACUAAUACUGACACUGAGGUGUGAAAGCGUGGGGAGCAAACAGGAUUAGAUACCCUGGUAGUCCACGCCGUAAACGAUGUCAACUAGCCGUUGGAAGCCUUGAGCUUUUAGUGGCGCAGCUAACGCAUUAAGUUGACCGCCUGGGGAGUACGGCCGCAAGGUUAAAACUCAAAUGAAUUGACGGGGGCCCGCACAAGCGGUGGAGCAUGUGGUUUAAUUCGAAGCACGCGAGACCUUACCAGGCCUUG
rnacentral:rRNA from 1 species